CCUACGGGGGGCUGCAGUGAGGAAUAUUGGUCAAUGAGCGCGAGCCUGAACCAGCCAAGUCGCGUGCGGGAAGACGGUCCUAUGGAUUGUAAACCUCUUUUGUCGGGAAGCAAAAUACGCCACGCGUGGCGUUCCGAGAGUACCCGAAGAAAAAGCAUCGGUUAACUCCGUGCCAGCAGCCGCGGUAAUACGGAGGAUACGAGCGUUAUCCGGAUUUGUUGGGUUUAAAGGGGGCGUAGGUGGAUUGUUAAGUCAGUUGUGAAAUUUUCGGGCUCAACCGUAAGAUUGCAGUUGAAACUGGCAGUCUUGAGUACAGUAGAGGUGGGCGGAAUUCGUGGUGUAGCGGUGAAAUGCUUAGAUAUAACGAAGAAAUCCGAUUGCGAAGGCAGUUCACUGGA
rnacentral:rRNA from 1 species